rnacentral:lncRNA from 1 species
CUUGUGUCCUCCCUUUGGGUGAGGUUGAUUUUCCCUAUAAUGAGGUUUCUGGUUAAUGCUGUAGCAUAGUCUUUUAUGCCUGGUUAUUUUAUAAUGCUUUGGCUUAAGAAUUGGAUCUGUUUCAGGAAUUAUUGCAGAUAAAUCUUAGAUUAAUUGUUGUCAGUGUUUCACACUAUAUUUACAUAUAUAUUGUACAUACAUUGUAUGUGUAUGUUAUACACACACAUAUAUAUAUGUAUAUAUUAUAUAUAGUAUAACCUCUUUGUUUUUUUAUAUAUCUCUUUAAAAUUGAAGCCCAGAUAUUUCCGAAAGUGCACUUUGUAGUACAUGGGAGUUGUGGGCUGAUAAACGAUUUAUUCUGCCUUACAGAUUUAUCAGUCCUGGCUGGACAAAUCUACCCCCUACACAGCUGUCCGGUGGGUCGUGACACUGGGCCUGAGUUUUGUCUACAUGAUUAGAGUUUACCUGUUACAAGGUUGGUACAUUGUGACCUACGCCUUGGGAAUUUACCACCUAAACCUUUUCAUAGCGUUCCUUUCUCCCAAAGUGGACCCUUCCUUGAUGGAAGACUCAGAUGAUGGCCCUUCAUUACCAACCAAACAAAAUGAGGAGUUUCGCCCCUUCAUUCGAAGGCUUCCAGAAUUCAAAUUUUGGUGAGUUAAUUUUUUUCUGUUGAACAAUAAGAUAUUUAAAUCCAUAAAUGUCUUACUUUUGCAAACGUAAUUGCCCACAUGUGGGGAAUGUGGUGCCAUUUUGGUUCACAUGCACUAGGUAAUGGUCAUGUAAUAGUCAGAUCAAGUGUUUGGCACGAUCACCACAGGCACUGACCGCUUCAAGUUUGAACACCAGACGUCCUACUUAAGGUAUUUUGAAGGAAGUGCAGCAUUAUUGCCCACUGCUCUUCUUCUUGUCUACACAGCGGAAAUCCUUUCUCCUGAGCAGUCCUGCUGUUAUGUCUUUAAGGUUUUUGUGGAAGAUGAAGAUCAGUUUUUGUCUUAGUUACUGGUUUCUUAACAAAAUGAGGAUUUUGUUGUGCUUUGUUUGCAUGUGGUGUGCAUUAAUCUAAAAGGUCACAGGGCUUUCCA